GCCGAGGUGGCGGAAUUGGUAGACGCGCUAGAUUCAGGUUCUAGUGUCCGCAAGGAUGUGCGAGUUCGAGUCUCGCCCUCGGCACCA
rnacentral:tRNA from 1 species